UACGUAGGGUGCGAGCGUUGUCCGGAAUUACUGGGCGUAAAGCGUGCGCAGGCGGUCUGUUAAGACCGAUGUGAAAUCCCCGGGCUUAACCUGGGAACUGCAUUGGUGACUGGCAGGCUUUGAGUGUGGCAGAGGGGGGUAGAAUUCCACGUGUAGCAGUGAAAUGCGUAGAGAUGUGGAGGAAUACCGAUGGCGAAGGCAGCCCCCUGGGCCAACACUGACGCUCAUGCACGAAAGCGUGGGGAGCAAACAGG
rnacentral:rRNA from 1 species